rnacentral:rRNA from 1 species
AUUGAACGCUGGCGGCAGGCCUAACACAUGCAAGUCGAACGAGUUGCGAACGGGUGAGUAACGCGUGGUAACCUGCCUCAUAGCGGGGGAUAACUAUUUGAAACGGUAGCUAAUACCGCCUACCAUCAGGUGUGCCCCGAUGGGAUUAGCUAGUGGGUGGGGUAACGGCUAACCAAGGCGACGAUCCCUAGCUGGUCUGAGAGGAGGACCAGCCACACUGGAACUGAGACACGGUCCAGACUCCUACGGGAGGCAGCAGUGGGGAAUAUUGCACAAUGGGCGCAAGCCGGAUGCAGCCAUGCCGCGUGUAUGAAGAAGGCCUUCGGGUUGUAAAGUACUUUCAGCGGGGAGGCGUUACCCGCAGAAGAAGCACCGGCUAACUCCGUGCCAGCAGCCGCGGUAAUUC